rnacentral:rRNA from 1 species
CCCUUAGAUGUUCUGGGCUGCACGCGCGCUACACUGUUGCAUUCAGCGAGUUUUAACCAAGGCCGAAAGGUCAAGGUAAUCUUUGAAAGUGCAACGUGCUUGGGCUAGAUGAUUGCAAUUAUUCAUCUUAAACGAGGAAUGCCUAGUAAACGCAUGUCAUCAGCGUGCAUUGAUUACGUCCCUGCCCUUUGUACACACCGCCCGUCGCUCCUACCGAUUGAAUGUUCCGGUGAGCUCUUCGGACUGCGCGGUCUGCAGUUUCUGCGUUCCGUGCGGAAAGUUGCGCAAACCUUAACAUUUAGAGGAAGGAGAAGUCGUAACA